rnacentral:rRNA from 1 species
UGUCUUUCAUAACUCACCUGUGCACCUAAUGUAGGAUGCUCCUCCUUCGGGAGGGGGGACCUAUGUCUUCAUACGCCUCUUCGUGUAGAAAGUCUUAGAAUGUUUACUAUCAGAGAGUGGCGACUUCUAGGAGACGCGAAUCUCUGAGACAAAAGUUAAUUACAACUUUCAGCAAUGGAUCUCUUGGCUCUCGCAUCGAUGAAGAACGCAGCGAAAAGCGAUAUGUAAUGUGAAUUGCAGAUCUACAGUGAAUCAUCGAAUCUUUGAACGCACCUUGCGCUCCUCGGUGUUCCGAGGAGCAUGCCUGUUUGAGUGUCAGUAAAUUCUCAACCCCUCUCGAUUUUUUUUGGAGGGGGAGCUUGGAUGUUGGGGGCUCCCGGGGAUUAGGCCUCGUCCUUGACUCGGGCUCUCCUUAAAUGCAUUGGCUCGCGGUCGACUUUCGACUUUGCGCGACAAGGCUUUCGGCGUGAUAAUGAUCGCCGUUCGCCGAAGCGCAUGAACGAACGUUCCGUGCCUCUAAUACCGUCGACGGGUUACUAUCUCUUCGGAGAGAAAAGCGUCUUCCUUCAUUGACUUUUGACCUCAAAUCAGGUAGGACUACCCGCUGAACUUAAGCAUAUCAAUAAGCGGAGGAAAAGAAACUAACAAGGAUUCCCCUAGUAACUGCGAGUGAAGAGGGAAAAGCUCAAAUUUUGAAUCUGGCGGUCUUUCGGUCUCCGAGUGU